AUUGAACGCUGGCGGCAGGCUUAACACAUGCAAGUCGAGCGAGCGGCGGACGGGUGAGUAAUGUCUGGGAAACUGCCUGAUGGAGGGGGAUAACUACUGGAAACGGUAGCUAAUACCGCAUACCAUCAGAUGUGCCCAGAUGGGAUUAGCUCGUUGGUUGGGUAAUGGCUCACUUAGGCGACGAUCCCUAGCUGGUAGGAGAGGAUGACCAGCCACACUGGAACGGAUACACGGUCCAGACUACUACGGUAGGCAGCAGUGGGGAAUAUUGCACAAUGGGCGCAAGCCUGAUGCAGCCAUGCCGCGUGUAUGAAGAAGGCCUUCGGGUUGUAAAGCACUUUCAGCGAGGAGGCGUUACUCGCAGAAGAAGCACCGGCUAACUCCGUGCCAGCAGCCGCGGUAAUUC
rnacentral:rRNA from 1 species